AAAGGAAUCUUGUCUAAACCAAUCAAACACGUUGCUACAUCAGUAGACUGUGGCAAGUGAACGCCACACUGGAAUAACUACUAGCCUAUUGAUAAAUUAGUAUCGACGCCAAAAUGAAGAAGAAACAGGAUAACCAAUGAAAAAGAAUCUGUGAUCUCCUCAGAGCAGACCAAUGAGAAUUCAGCCUCCGCUGGCUCCGAUUGGCUGUUGCAUAUGACAUCACAGCUAAUGGCGACCAGGGCAGUGGCUCCUGGUGAUGCCAGGUGAGAAUACAACGGUGGUACUCCGGUCUGGGAUCCAGCUUCACGUCACAGGAGAGCUGAAAUACAGUCAAACAAAAUGUUACUGAGAUAUUAAAUAUGGAUUUUAUAGAAUCAAAAACCUUCCAA